rfam:Pisolithus microcarpus 441 unplaced genomic scaffold scaffold_7, whole genome shotgun sequence.
GGGUAGUUAGCGCAGUGGUAGCGCGUAUGCUUUGCAUUCGCAGCAUUUGUAUAAGGUCCAGGGUUCAAUCCCCUGACUAUCCA